GAAAGAAUAUCGGAGACGGAUGGGCAUGCGGCGCAUUAGCUGGUUGGCGGGGUAACGGCCCACCAAGGCGACGAUGCGUAGGGGUUCUGAGAGGAAGGUCCCCCACACUGGUACUGAGACACGGACCAGACUCCUACGGGAGGCAGCAGUGAGGAAUAUUGGUCAAUGGGCGAGAGCCUGAACCAGCCAAGUCGCGUGAGGGAGUACUGCCCUAUGGGUUGUAAACCUCUUUUGUCGGGGAGCAAAAGCCGGACGUGUCCGGCUGUGAGAGUACCCGAAGAAAAAGCAUCGGCUAACUCCGUGCCAGCAGCCGCGGUAAUACGGAGGAUGCGAGCGUUAUCCGGAUUUAUUGGGUUUAAAGGGUGCGCAGGCGGAUUUUUAAGUCAGCGGUCAAAUCGUGGGGCUCAACCCCAUCCAGCCGUUGAAACUGGGGAUCUAGAGUGUGCGAGAGGUAUGCGGAAUGCGUGGUGUAGCGGUGAAAUGCAUAGAUAUCACGCAGAACCCCGAUUGCGAAGGCAGCAUACCGGUGCACAACUGACGCUCAGGCACGAAAGCGUGGGUAUCGAACAGGAUUAGAUACCCUGGUAGUCCACGCAGUAAACGAUGAAUGCUACCUGUUUGGCCAGAUUGAAGGCUGAGCGGG
rnacentral:rRNA from 1 species